UACGUCGAGUGGCGAACGGGUGAGUAACACGUGGGUGAUCUGCCCUGCACUUCGGGAUAAGCCUGGGAAACUGGGUCUAAUACCGGAUAGGAGCCAUUUUUAGUGUGAUGGUUGGAAAGUUUUUUCGGUGUAGGAUGAGCUCGCGGCCUAUCAGCUUGUUGGUGGGGUAAUGGCCUACCAAGGCGGCGACGGGUAGCCGGCCUGAGAGGGUGGACGGCCACAUUGGGACUGAGAUACGGCCCAGACUCCUACGGGAGGCAGCAGUU
rnacentral:rRNA from 1 species